AUCAUUUUUUCCAAAUCGGAACGGAAGUUACAUCCAUUCUCUUCUCCUAAUCAAUGGAAAGCCUGGAAAAUUGAGGAAGGAAUUGGAGCGUUGGGAUUAUUCGGCGUAUUACUAUCAAAAGCACAACUAUUAUGAGUCGAAAAAGAAAGCCGGUUAUAUGUUGCUUGACUCGUUUAUGAGUAGCUGUUCCAAAAUGGAGGAGGCCUUGAACAAAUCUCUUUGGGUAAUGAAACUGACACCUGUGAGAAAUGCUGAGCCUUAUAGCUUUCAGGAUUUGAAAGAUUUGACCGACAAGACUAUUGCCAACUUUUAAUCGACAAGACUAUGUACGGGAGGAUGUUCGUAGGUCAUGAUGAAUGCAAUGUUGCUAUCAAAACAUAGGAUUUCUUUGCUCCACAGCAAUGCUGUUAUCCUGACCAUCAGUCUAGAUUUUGUAACGAGCUUGAAAUACUGCCGGCUGAAAACCAACAUCCAUGUUUGAUGAAGACAAAGGGGUUCUGUUUUCAGUGCAUACUUGCAGUGGUUUAUGACGAAAUACCAACUAAACUUUUGUCACGGAAAAAUUUGAAUGGGAAUUAUGGGAUGGUCGAAUGAAGGUGGCGAUUCAACUUGCAAGUCUCUUCGCCUGGUUUCAUGAGAGGCGAUUUGCAUUUGGUAGUGUCAGGCCUUCUGGCAUAAUGAUUGACAAGAAUUUCAACAUAAAAGUAUUCGACUUUGGUUUCCUUGCUCCUGUCAGGGUUGAGGAUAACGGAGUUACCGUGUAUUAUUCUCGUUGUAGAUGCUCGCGAGGCUAGAGCUAGAUACGGUGUUCGGACUUUAAAAGCUGAUGUUUCCAUAUUUGGUGUUCUACUUGUGGAAUUGCUUGGCAAUAACUACAGAGAUAUAGAGAGGAAAAUGGCACUCACUCCUGGAUUCUGAAGCAGCUCCAAGAAGGAAAAACAUCAAUAGUGGAUAAAUCAAUUCUGCAAGAUAAUGAUGAGCUUGCUAAUGGCAUCACAGAAAUAGCAGUGAAAUGUCUGAGUGAGGAUCCAAAUGAACGCCCACAUAUGGAGGAUGUCUUUGCCAAUUUGUCUAAUUUGGUAGGAGCAACUCCCAAUUAAGGAAGAACAAUGUUAAUUAGUAUUCUGUUGAUAAGAAUUAGUACUUAAUAUGAAUCAUUUAGUCUUCCCUUUUGUACUUUCACCAAUAAGGGUUGCG